UACGAAGGGUGCAAGCGUUACUCGGAAUUACUGGGCGUAAAGCGUGCGUAGGUGGUUUGUUAAGUCUGAUGUGAAAGCCCUGGGCUUAACCUGGGAAUUGCAUUGGAUACUGGCAGGCUAGAGUGCGGUAGAGGAUGGCGGAAUUCCCGGUGUAGCAGUGAAAUGCGUAGAGAUCGGGAGGAACAUCUGUGGCGAAGGCGGCCAUCUGGACCAGCACUGACACUGAGGCACGAAAGCGUGGGGAGCAAACAGG
rnacentral:rRNA from 1 species